UACGUAGGGUGCAAGCGUUGUCCGGAAUUAUUGGGCGUAAAGAGCUCGUAGGCGGUUUGUUGCGUCGGCUGUGAAAUCCCGAGGCUCAACCUCGGGUCUGCAGUCGAUACGAGCAAACUAGAGUGUUGCAGGGGAGACUGGAAUUCCUGGUGUAGCGGUGAAAUGCGCAGAUAUCAGGAGGAACACCGGUGGCGAAGGCGGGCCUGCUGGGACAUGACUGACGCUGAGGCGACGAACAGCGUGGGGAGCAAACAGG
rnacentral:rRNA from 1 species